GGUUGCGAUCAUACCAGCACUAAUGCACCGGAUCCCAUCAGAACUCCGCAGUUAAGCGUGCUUAGGCGAGAGUAGUACUAGGAUGGGUGACCCCCUGGGAAGUCCUCGUAUUGCAACCC
rnacentral:rRNA from 1 species